UCCGGAUUAGAUACCCUGGUAGUCCACGCCGUAAACGAUGGGCACUAGGUGUGGGGGGUGUCGACUCCCUCCGUGCCGAAGCUAACGCGUUAAGUUCGCCGCCUGGGGAGUACGGUCGCAAGACUGAAACUCAAAGGAAUUGACGGGGGCCCGCACAAGCGGUGGAGUAUGUGGUUUAAUUCGAUGCAACGCGAAGAACCUUACCUGGCCUUGACAUGUCGAGAACUUUCCAGAGAUGGAUUGGUGCCUUCGGGAACUCGAACACAGGUGCUGCAUGGCUGUCGUCAGCUCGUGUCGUGAGAUGUUGGGUUAAGUCCCGCAACGAGCGCAACCCCCGUGGCGUGUUGCCAUCAUUAAGUUGGGGACUCACGCCAGACUGCCGGUGACAAACCGGAGGAAG
rnacentral:misc_RNA from 1 species